rnacentral:rRNA from 1 species
UACGUAGGUGGCAAGCGUUGUCCGGAUUUAUUGGGUUUAAAGGGUGCGUAGGCGGUCAUGUAAGUCAGUGGUGAAAUCCGGCAGCUCAACUGUCGAUGUGCCAUUGAUACUGUAUGACUUGAGUACAGACGAGGUAGGCGGAAUUGACGGUGUAGCGGUGAAAUGCUUAGAUAUCGUCAAGAACACCGAUAGCGAAGGCAGCUUACUGGGCUGUAACUGACGCUGAUGCACGAAAGUGUGGGGAUCAAACAGG